rnacentral:rRNA from 1 species
UUCCGGUUGAUCCUGCCGGAGGCUACCGCUAUUGGAGUUCGAUUAAGCCAUGCGAGUCGAGAGUCUUAGGGACUCGGCGCACCGCUCAGUAACACGUGGGUAACCUGCCCUAUGCUGGGGAAUAACCUCGGGAAACUGAGAAUAAUGCCCCAUAGCCCACUACGCCUGGAACGGUGAGUGGGUCAAAGCUCCGGCGGCAUAGGAUGGGCCUGCGCCGUAUCAGGUUGUAGGGGGUGUAAAGUACCCUCUAGCCAUCAACGCGUACGGGUGUUGGGAGACAUUGCCCGGAGAUGGAUUCUGAGACACGAAUCCAGACCCUACGGGGUGCAGCAGGCGCGAAAACUUGGCAAUGCGAGAAAUCGUGACCAGGGAACUCCAAGUGCGUAGGGUAAGACCUACGCUUUUCUUGACUCUUCAAAGGUCUUGGAAUAAGGGGUGGGUAAGGACGGUGCCAGCCGCCGCGGUAAUACCGGCGCCUCAAGUGGUAGUCGCUUUUAUUGGGCCUAAAACGUCCGUAGCCGGUCUGGUGCAUUCGUGGGUAAAUCAACCCGCUCAACGGGUUGAAUUCUGCGAGCACGGCCAGACUUGGGACCGGGAGAGGUGUGGGGUACUCUCAGGGUAGGGGUAAAAUCCUGUCAUCCUGAGAGGACCACCUGUUGCGAAGGCGCCACACUAGAACGGAUCCGACGGUCAGGGACGAAACCUAGGGGCACGAACCGGAUUAGAUACCCGGGUAGUCCUAGGUGUAAACGCUGUGGACUUGAUGUUGGGGGCGCUCCGAGCGCUUUCAGUGUCGAAGCGAAGGUGAUAAGUCCACUGCCUGGGGAGUACGGUCGCAAGGCUGAAACUUAAAGGAAUUGGCGGGGGGGCACUGCAACCUGAGGAUUGUGCGGUUUAAUUGGAUUCAACGCCGGA